rnacentral:rRNA from 1 species
GACGAACGCUGGCGGCGUGCUUAACACAUGCAAGUCGAACGGUGAGGCGCUUUCUGCGGGGGGUUCUCGAGUGGCGGACGAGUGAGUAACACGUAAUUUACCUUGCCCUCUCGUUGAGAUAACGUCAGGUAACUGUGGUUAAUGCCGCGUCGCACCGCCGGCUGCUGGGGGGUGGAAAGUUCCGGCCGGCGGUUGUGGAUGGACGCGCGGCCUAUCAGCUUGUUGGUGGGGUACUGGCCUACCAAGGCACUGACGGGUAGCCGGCCUGAGAGGGUGACCGGCCACACUGGGACUGAGACACGGCCCAGACUCCUACGGGAGGCAGCAGUGGGGAAUAUUGCACAAUGGGCGGAAGCCUGAUGCAGCGACGCCGCGUGCGGGAUGACGGCCUUCGGGUUGUAAACCGCUUUCAGCUGGGAAGAAGCGAAAGUGACGGUACCGGCAGAAGAAGCACCGGCUAACUACGUG